UUCUGCCACUUCAAGUGCCCAUGGGCAUUGCACAAGUAUGAAAAGUACAGCGCACAAAAGUAAUAAAGUGCUGAUUGAGGAAGCAACCAUCCACUUACCUUGGCGCAUGAUCUGGGAUGAAUCUUGAAUGACAGGUAGGCGUUGUAUACCCCAGCUCUUAUGGGACACUCGUUGUUCCAUUCAGAGGUAAAUUUUUUUUCAGUACGCGUCGUGCCGUCACAAAGCAUCAGCUCCCUUUCGUAAACACACAUGUAAUAAAGGGAAAUACAAAACCAUCAAGUACCACAGCACAUCGAUCAAACUUAACCUAAUGUGCGGCGACUACAACCAGAAGGUUGCUGCCCAUGGUAUGACUGACUGAAAGACCCAAUUGACAGCAUGGCAGAAGACAAUCAGUAAUUUCAGAAUCUUUAGAGACAGUCAAUGCGAUAAAGAAGAUUUAAACUCAAGCAGUUGGCUAUCAAUCAACACUUUAGGCUCAUUUCAUUGUUAUGAUUAUGCGCAUCUGUCGUAGGGAGUCCAGGCUCAAGGGAACAAUUUUUGUUUGGCCUUUUGUCUUUGCUCCUGACAAGCGUACCCCCAAUGUCAAAUUAUUCUUUAACUUGAUAUUAUUCUAAGUUGUCAUUCGAAGCAACCUAAGUGCGCUGUUUACAGGGUUUCUUCGAUUUAGUAUUUGAGCUAUAUUUUAAGUGAAUAAGCAAGAGGCUAUUGCGGAUAGGACAGAAGUGCAGGAAAUGAUUGCCUCGUUCCCUUCAGUCACGGCGUACACAUAUGUGUACGCAAUUUUUUUACAUUUUUUUCUCUUCGUCGAAUUUGAAUUUCCCGCGCUAUUUUCGCUACACAGCACUGUGUGGGCUUUAGAAAAGGCCGCUAGCGACACCUGUUGUCGUUAACAAGAAAUAGAGUUGUAAACAUGCCCUUCCAAAAUGGACGCAGCCGCCUUCUACAUCGGCGCUGACUUGAGAAAUCAUGCGAGAAAUUGAACUAGACUUGAUGCUGACCGGGCAGAGAGACUACUGUGCAGAAUUGCCGAUGGCAACACUUCGGACAUUGGCCUUUCUCACGACGAGGAGGAGGAAGGACACCCAAAUCAACUUGGUGACCACCCAGACAAUGCAGCUGGUCUGUCCGGAGUAGCGCAGCGUAUUCCUCAUCUGCCACACACUGAUGACCAAGAAGUCAUCGGCCAACAUAAGAGGAAAGCUCUUUGGGCCACUCCAGAAUUUGACCCACCCGGCACCACAUUCCAUUAUCCCAGACCAUGAUGCCGACGCUGUGAGCGAACCACCUGAGUACUUCUUCAGGUACUUCGCAGAUGACCUUGCUGAAGAAAUCGCACGUUGCACAAACAUUUAUGAGCGGCAGACUUCAGGAACUAUUCUGGGAACAACACCAGAAGAAAUCGAAACAUUUUUUGGAAUGUUAAUUAUAAUGGGCACCCUGAAAUUUCUACGCAUAAGGAUGUAUUGGAACCCUGCCACGCGUAUUCCUAGUGUGGCGGAAGUGAUGAGCGCAAACAGAGUUUCAGGCUGCGCUCUGCAUUGCAUGUCACAGAGCCAGACGCGGAUCACAAUGGAACUGACAGGUUCCGGAAGGUGUGACCACUCCUUGAUGCUGUGAGGAAGAGGGGCCUUGAGCUACCGCCUCUUGAAAAAAAAAUUACAUCGACAAGUAGAUGAUUCCCUUUACAGAAAGAGUUGCGGCCAAGCAAUUUGUCCGGACCAAACCAAACCCCGGAGGGGUGAAGGUGUUCCUUCGAUGCAGCUCCAGUGGUGUCGCACAUGACUUUGAGAUUUAUCAAGGGAAGGGUACGGGCACGUAUGUGGAGCACAAGCAUCCUGUCUUGGGCUUGGUGGCUCAAUUAUAAUGAGGUCGAUCCAAGAUGUCCCCAAACAAGGUAAAUUCAUAUGUUACUUUGACAACUAUUUUACGUCAAUACCGUUACUUCACGAGCUAAAGGAAACCGUCAUUUGGGCCAUCGGCACCGUCCGCAGCAACAGGCUACAAGGAUGCCCACUGAAGUCAGAAAAAAGUGCUGAAGAAAGAAGGACGUGGAAGUACGGCUGCCAGCGUCUCUGUAGGUGGUGACAUAACAGUUGUGAGGUGGCAGGACAAUGGUAUAGUAAAUGUUGCGUCAACUUCGUGCGUGUUGUGGAGCCAACUACCGUGAAAUAGUGGAGUGAAUCAACAAAGAAGCACGUGUACAUCCCGUGACCUGGAAUUGUCAGCGAAUACAUUGAAACAAUCGGCGAAGUCGACAAAAUGGAUUUCCUGCUGUCGUUGUGCUCGUUAAAACAGAGAAAAAGGAAAUGGCCUGAUCGUGUAAUUUCCCAUUUUACAUCAUUCGCACUAGUGAACGGCUGGCAAGAAUACUUGACUGACGCGAAUGAUAACUCCAUCCCACGCAAGAAAAUUCUUGAUUUUCUAGCCUUUCGAAACAACGUUGGGUUGGCAUUAAUCAUGUCCAACACGACUGGUGCCAGGAAACAGGGUCGCCCAAGCAACUACACCAAGGAGCCCCCAUGGAAAGUGCACAAUGCCAAGCCGCGGCCUGUAAAUGAUGUCCGGUACGAUGGCCUGCACCACCGGCCAGCCCACACAGGCAAUUGCUUUGCUCAGCUUUGCAAGCUGGAAGGCUGCUAUUCGAGAACAUGAGUCCGAUGCAGAAAAUGCAAUGUGUUUUUGUCUGUCUUUCAGCCACAAAUGACUGUUUCUAUGCGUUUCAGAACAGUGAGAUUUGAUUUUUGUUUCACCAGCCUCAUGCAAAGACAGCGUGUGCCUAAGAAUCUUUGUUUCCUGUGUGAAAUAAACAAGUGCUUUGCCCGAGA